UACAGAGGGGGCAAGCGUUGUUCGGAAUUACUGGGCGUAAAGGGCGCGUAGGCGGCCCGCUAAGUCGAACGUGAAAUCCCUGGGCUCAACCCAGGAACUGCGUCCGAUACUGGCAGGCUUGAAUCCGGGAGAGGGAUGCGGAAUUCCAGGUGUAGCGGUGAAAUGCGUAGAUAUCGGGAGGAACAUCAGUGGCGAAGGCGGCUACCUGGCCCAAUACUGACACUCAGGUGCGACAGCGUGGGGAGCAAACAGG
rnacentral:rRNA from 1 species